rnacentral:lncRNA from 1 species
ACCGUCACUCUCCUUCUUGUAUUCUCCAUUUGAAUGUUGAAAGCUUGAGCUUGGAGGUGAUUCUUUGCUUUUUCAUGGUGGAUUCCUUGGUUGGAUGAGGACCCAUUUUGCAUUUUCGUUUCCUUUUUGCUGCACUUUGGAUGUUAAAGUUUAAGUUUCUUUGUUGAAUGAGGAAGAAUAUGCUUCAUAUUGAGUUUGAGAGAGAAGAAAGCUUGAGUUGAUUUUUGGGUGUUNGAAGCUUGAACCUUCUUCUUCUUGUGCUUUUACUUGGAUGGAUAGAAGCAAUUUGUAAAGGGUAUUCUUUCACCUUGUAGGCUGGACGGUGGCAGCAUUUGCAACCUUAGUUAUCCUUUAUUUUUGCUCUUAAAAAGAUUGGUUGAUGGAGGAGAAAAAGGUAGCAAUGUCUUGGCUAAGCUUAGUUGAAGUGGUGUAAUUUUUUUUCCUCCCAUUGUGCUUGUGCGGUAAUGUGUUUGAGAGAAGGGAUUUGGUUCUUUGCUUGGCUUUAUAUGAACCGUGUUUGUGGUUGGGACAAAGAGAAUGUCUUGCUUUGAGUUUUAUUCCAUUUGACCAUUCCCAUGUGGCACUUUGGUAGAAGUAAUUCCACUUUUUGUGUUAGUAAAUUCACUCCUUGCUUUGUGAUUCACGUGACCAAGAUGUGGAAGAUGGUGGCUGGUUAUUGAGUUAUGGAACACUUCAUUUUGUGUCAAACAUUGAAAGUUGUGUAGCUUUGACUUGGAGGAGAGAGGGAGCACGGUUUUCAUGAUAGCAUAGUUGGCAUAUGGCUUUUCUUGAAAGAUGAGGCACAUGGGACAAGAGGGGAACAUAAUCAAUUGUUUAUGCAAAGAAGAAAUUGAAUUCUUGUUUGGUGCAGCCCAUGUCUCGGUAAAAGGGGGAACAAAUUAGAAUCAAAUAUUCAUUUUCAUUGCUCUUGGGAAGUGUAGUUGACUUGGCUUUGGAAGAAAGGAGGUUUUAACUUUUGUGCUUCUUUUGGUGCUUGGUAACCGUGACAAUGUUGUCUUGGAGGUGUGGGGGCUGCAUGUGAAUGGUUUUGUGGAGAGGAGAAUUUGAUUUUGCUCCCUUGGGAAGUCAUGGCAAUGAAGGAAAAAUUUAGGGCAUUUGCAAAUUUAAUUUGUUUGGAAGAGCAUGAGGCAAGUGCUUGGUAAAAGAAACUCAAUGAUUGUUUACUUCUUUGUUUUAAAUUAGUUUGCAUUGUAGGAUUAGUUUUUUUUAAUUUCUUUAAAUUAGUUUUGCAAUUGAUAGUUUUAACUGUGUUUAGAUAUUUGUUUGCUCUAGUAUUGGGUUUAGCAUUUUCACUCUCUGGACUCGAUUUUAAAAAAAUUACUGCAACCACACCAGAGGUCCAAAUGCUACGUUUUAUGUGUCAAAUGAAAGAUAUUUGAGUCUAUUUUUCAGGAACAAAAAACCUCAUCUCAUUUAGAGCUCUGUAGAAAAAGUUAUGGAUAAAACAUUGAGCAAAGGUCAGAGCUGUCUAAUUCCAGCGUGAAUUUUAAAUUUUCCGCAUUCACUACAAAAACACUUUUCAAAACCCCCCCUUUCAUGUUAGACUUGACUCUGAACCGCAGUUGGUCCUUGAGAGACGACCUAGGGGUCAUUCCCUAGUUAUACUGCACUUUAAAAUGCACAUCAAAUUUGAUUGGGCGGCGACACCCAUC